rnacentral:tRNA from 1 species
GCCGGGAUGGCGGAACUGGCAGACGCGCGGGACUCAAAAUCCCGUGGUGGAAACAUCGUGUGGGUUCGACUCCCUCUCCCGGCACCA